rnacentral:rRNA from 1 species
UCCUGGUGGCUAUAGCGAGGGGGAAACGCCUGAUCCCAUUCCGAACUCAGAAGCUAAGCCCCUCCACGCCGAUGGUACUGCGGUGUUUCGCCGUGGGAGAGUAGGUCACUGCCAGGA